rnacentral:rRNA from 1 species
CAGUCGCCGCGGUAAUACGAAGGGUGCAAGCGUUACUCGGAUUUACUGGGCGUAAAGCGUGCGUAGGCGGCUUUUUAAGUCGGAUGUGAAAUCCCUGAGCUUAACUUAGGAAUUGCAUUCGAUACUGGGAAGCUAGAGUAUGGGAGAGGAUGGUAGAAUUCCAGGUGUAGCGGUGAAAUGCGUAGAGAUCUGGAGGAAUACCGAUGGCGAAGGCAGCCAUCUGGCCUAAUACUGACGCUGAGGUACGAAAGCAUGGGGAGCAAACAGGAUUAGAUACCCCCGUAGUCCCUGUCUCUUAUAC